GAUGCAAUGCCAGCUGCAUCUGAAUAUAAAAUCAAACUCAUUUCUUACUGACUGAACAUUUAUUGCUUUUAGUUAGUUUAUUUAGUUCUUUCAUACAAGGAAGACUGACUUUUCAAGUCAGACCUGGGGACUGAGCACCAGUGGUGUGUGAAAGACAACUGUCCUGUUCAUUUGAGGAGUUCCCGUACAAAGUUGACAUAAUCUUUUCUCUCGAGAAAAUGAAUGGAGGAACACCAACUGGAAAAAAAAUCUCAGUUCCACCUGCCUCCAGCUCCAUUUCUUCUGCUUAGCCAGAAUAAAAACGAUGGACUAGAACAGCUUGAGAGAGUCAGACAUCUUCUGGUAAUCUUCAUUGCACCACGAAAGGUUGCCAGUUUGCUGUUUUGUGGAAAUAAUGCAUUUUUUUCCUUUUUUAUACUUUUCAUUUUUUGAAAUUAUCGCAUUAAAUGGGGAUUUCCCUGCUUGAGUACCAAUCCUUUCUCUUUAUGAUAUUGUAUAUACUGAAAAAGAGAUAAUUCCAGCUAAUUAUUUUUAAAGCUAGUUAGGUAGUGUGGUAGAGAGUAGUACUUUAGGGAAUGUCAAAUCUUGGCUACAAGUUAUUUUGCAGAAAUUAGGCAAAUAGGAUUAGCAAAUUAUGUUGGGUUAAAUCGCCUGUUCUCAUUGAAAUUCUUGUAAUGUCCUAAUUAUGUAAGUUAUAUACUAUCAGUGUUAGGAAUAUCUAUCUGAGCCCAUCGGGACUACCCCAAAUGCAGGAGCUGGUUCUAGAAAACAGCACAUGUCUGCUUCCUUUAUAGUUCUAAUGUCACUGAUCUAUAAGAAGAAGGAAAACUGACACCCCCCCACCAUAACU